rnacentral:rRNA from 1 species
CCUACGGGAGGCAGCAGUAGGGAAUCUUCCACAAAGGGCGAAAGCCUGAUGGAGCAACGCCGCGUGGGUGAAGAAGGUCUUCGGAUCGUAAAACUCUGUUGUUAGAGAAGAAAGUGCGAGAGAGUAACUGUUCACGUUUCGACGGUAUCUAACCAGAAAGCCACGGCUAACUACGUGCCAGCAGCCGCGGUAAUACGUAGGUGGCAAGCGUUAUCCGGAUUUAUUGGGCGUAAAGGGAACGCAGGCGGUCUUUUAAGUCUGAUGUGAAAGCCUUCGGCUUAACCGGAGUAGUGCAUUGGAAACUGGGAGACUUGAGUGCAGGAGAGGAGAGUGGAACUCCAUGUGUAGCGGUGAAAUGCGUAGAUAUAUGGAAGAACACCAGUGGCGAAGGCGGCUCUCUGGUCUGUAACUGACGCUGAGGUUCGAAAGCGUGGGUAGCAAACAGGAUUAGAUACCCGAGUAGUC